UGUAAAUUGAUAAGUUAAUGUAUUGCAACUUAAAGGAAAAACAACACAAUUUGAAGCAAAAAUAGAUGAACAUACACAUGACAAAGUGUAAAUGUUGUGUACAGUGAAUUAUUGUGGUUGUGUUUUAUGAUUAUUGUCAUCUUUAUUGUUAUUUAUAGAUAUUUCUGGUUAUUACUGAACAGAUUUCUUUCCCUCAUAUUUUAAUUUUGAAGGUUAAACUCUUGCCCCAAGAGCAAAAGGGGUAAUCAUACUACCUGAUGUAUGGACUUUUACACCAGGCUUUUACCCUGCACGAGCUGGCCAACUUGAGGGGAACUGAAGUGGGCAAACCUCGCCCUGUCCUUGAACAAGAAAGCUGGAUUUGUUGAGAGAGUAUCAUUUAAGCUGAAAUCCAGCAUGAAACAAGGGAGGUGAUGGCCAUCGCACAGGCCAUGUGCCGACUAUUCACUUUCCACCAGCUUGUAACUUGCUCCAUGAAGGGAGCAACAACUACAACUGGGUCACCAAGACCAAGCCUCCCCGCUGCUGAGAGAAAUGCAAUCAUUGAUGUCAUAGCCAAAACCUUUGACAAGCCCCUGGUUGAUGUUGAAGAAAAGAUGAGAGGUUGUUUAAGGCAUCUGCGGCUGAUGCACAAGUAGACUGAAGUCUUUGUAAAUAAAAUGUGCUGUUAAAAUGAUUAUUUAACCAUUGUUUUCACUUUGUUAUAUUGAUUUGCGCCUGUUUCAACAACAUUAACUUAUUUUUAUGCUCCCGGUAGGGUCUCAUAUAGCAGUUGAACUGUCCGUCUGUCUGUCUAUCCGUCCGAAAACUUCAGCAUUGGUCAUAACUUUUGCAAUAUUGAAGAAAGCAACUUGAUAUUUAGCAUGCAUGUGUAUCUCAUUGAACUGCACAUUUUGAGUGGUGCAAGGUCAAGGUCAUCCUUCAAGGUCAGAGGUCAAAAUCCAAUGGAAGACAUAAGCAAAGAGAGAUAAUUUCUAAACCUGCCAAAUGAUAAAUAGAAAUUUUAUUUCAAAGCGGCGCAGUAGGGGGCAUUGUGUUUCUGACAAACACAUCUCUUGUUUGUAUUUAUUCCAUACAAUCUUACUUUUUUCAGUUCUUUCUUUGUGUUCAAUGUUAUGUUAUAACACUAUUAUAUUUUAUUAUAACAAUGCCAUGUCUGUCAAAAUAGUUUUAUCAUGCUGUGUAUAUGGAU